UGUAUGUUCUUGUUACCAACAACAAGCAAUUUUUCCUCUAUCUAGCGAUCUGCCUCAAGGCUGCGUCCCGCACAGGCUGGACACGGGGGAUCGGCCUCGUCGUGAGUAUCACCAGCUGGAGACAGGGGACCGGCGUCGUCGUGUGCCACCACCCGACUCUCUCUCUCUCUCUCUCUCUCCAUGGAUGUUUCCACGUCCAGAAUUUUUGUCAUGUCGCCGCUAUAGAUCCAUGUUGUUGCCAUAGAUCGGAAGCAAGUGAGUGCCGCGUGGCACCAUCCGCCGUCUCGGCCGGCAGGACGUCGCUAGCUGACUCAGAUGAUGAAUAGGCUAUAAGCAUCGUCUGGGAGUAGCCUGUUGAGGCGAGCACCCGCGAGUGAUUGACACCGUUGAUGACGGCUCAGGGUUAAUUAGACGCAGCGACGUACGACGACUGCAUGAUGACGGCGGCGGAUGUCACCGAGGUGCAACGGCGGCUAACGGGAGACUCCGUGACUGUUCUAGCAUGACGGCGGCCAUGAUGACAUGCGGUUUACGCAGCGGACAGGAUAGCGCUCCAGCAGCAAGACAACGGUGUAGCAGCAGUCGCGCGACGUAGUAUGACAAAUGGUC